UUUCGCCUCCAGUCCUACUUAUGUCGGAUGUGGUCUUAUUUGCCCUCACAUAGUCAACUGCUCAGUACUUCUUGGGGCUAUCAUAUCAUGGGGUUUCCUUUGGCCUCUCAUAUCCCAACAUGCUGGGCACUGGUAUCCAGCUGACCUUGGUAGCAAUGAUUUCAAAGGUCUUUAUGGAUAUAAGGUCUUCAUAGCUAUUGCCCUUAUUUUGGGGGAUGGUCCAUACAAUUUGAUCAAGAUUAUAGCCAUUACUAUCAAGGAAAUAUGCAAUAAAAGUAGUAAACAGAACAAUCUUCCUUUGGUUAAAGAAAAGUUGGAUGGUGAGAGUUCUGAAGUAACCCUGGAACAAAAAAAGAGGGAUGAGGUAUUUCUCAAGGAUAGAAUACCUCGAGGUGUGCAUUGAAGUGGCUGAUUAUAUACAGAGUUUGGCGUAAGACUUUUGGCUUCCAUGAUUUUGAGUAAGGCUAGUUUUUGCUUUGAAGCAAAGUUUGGUGUAGAACGUACUUUUGUAGUUGGUUGCUAAUAUGUUUCUAAGCUAGCCUUUGUAGGUUUUGGGUUUUAUUUUGUGAAUUAUGUUGAAUCAUGAAUUUGGAAAGAAAAUUAAUGGAAAGCUCCAAUUUUUGGGUGAUGAGAAAUG